AUUGAACGCUGGCGGAAUGCUUUACACAUGCAAGUCGAGCGGCAGCGCGGCCUUCGGGCUGGCGGCGAGCGGCGAACGGGUGAGUAAUGCAUCGGAACAUGCCCAGUCGUGGGGGAUAACACUUCGAAAGAAGUGCUAAUACCGCAUACUUCCUGCGGGUGAAAGCGGGGGAUCGCAAGACCUCGCGCGAUUGGAGUGGCCGAUGUCAGAUUAGCUAGUUGGUGGGGUAAAGGCCUACCAAGGCGACGAUCUGUAGCUGGUCUGAGAGGAUGAUCAGCCACACUGGGACUGAGACACGGCCCAGACUCCUACGGGAGGCAGCAGUGGGGAAUGUUGGACAAUGGGGGCAACCCUGAUCCAGCCAUUCCGAGUGAGUGAAGAAGGCCUUCGGGUUGUAAAGCUCUUUCGGCAGGAACGAAACGGUGGGCUCUAACAUAGUCCGCUAAUGACGGUACCUGAAGAAGAAGCACCGGCUAACUACGUG
rnacentral:rRNA from 1 species